rnacentral:rRNA from 1 species
UACGUAGGGGGCUAGCGUUGUCCGGAAUCAUUGGGCGUAAAGAGCGUGUAGGCGGUCCGGUAAGUCCGCUGUGAAAGUCGGGGGCUCAACCCUCGAAUGCCGGUGGAUACUGUCGGGCUAGAGUGCGGAAGAGGCGAGUGGAAUUCCUGGUGGAGCGGUGAAAUGCGCAGAUAUCAGGAGGAACACCAGUGGCGAAGGCGGCACUCUGGGCCGGUACUGACGCUGAGGAGCGAAAGCGUGGGGAGCGAACAGG